rnacentral:tRNA from 1 species
GCGAAGGUGGCGGAAUUGGUAGACGCGCUAGCUUCAGGUGUUAGUGUUCUUACGGACGUGGGGGUUCAAGUCUUCCCCCUCGCACCA